rnacentral:rRNA from 1 species
UGGGUAAUCUACCCUUGGAUUUGGAAUAACUCCGCGAAAGUGGAGCUAAUACCGGAUAGUCUGGCUUUUAAUAGAAGUCGGUAAAGGAUGCCUCUGCAUAUGCAUUCGUCCGAGGAUGAGCCCGCGUCUCAUUAGCUAGUUGGUAGGGUAAUGGCCUACCAAGGCAACGAUGAGUAGCUGGUCUGAGAGGAUGAUCAGCCACACUGGAACUGAAACACGGUCCAGACUCCUACGGGAGGCAGCAGUGGGGAAUAUUGCGCAAUGGGCGAAAGCCUGACGCAGCAACGCCGUGUGAGGGAUGAAGGCUUUCGGGUCGUAAACCUCUGUCGGAAGGGAAGAACGGGCAUUGGUCUAAUAGGCCUUUGUUUUGACGGUACCUUUAGAGGAAGCACCGGCUAACUCCGUGCCAGCAGCCGCGGUAAUACGGAGGGUGCAAGCGUUAUUCGGAAUUACUGGGCGUAAAGCGCACGUAGGCGGCCUUGUAAGUCAGGGGUGAAAUCCCACGGCUCAACCGUGGAACUGCCUUUGAAACUGCAGGGCUUGAAUCCUGGAGAGGGUGGCGGAAUUCCUGGUGUAGGAGUGAAAUCCGUAGAUAUCAGGAGGAACACCGGUGGCGAAGGCGGCCACCUGGACAGGUAUUGACGCUGAGGUGCGAAAGUGUGGGGA